GCUGGGAUAGCUCAGUCAGCAGAGCAUAGAAUUAGAGUUGGAAGGGGUCACAAGGGUCAUCUAGUCCACCCCCUGCAAUGCAUGAGACUCUUAAUUUCAGGGUUGUGGGUUCAAGCCCCACGUUGGGCA